rnacentral:lncRNA from 1 species
AGGUUUCAUAUUGAUGGACUUUGAUACCUGAUUGCCCAUCGGAUUUGGACUCAAUAAUUAUGAGAGAUUUUAUUAGUAAUUUGAUCGCUAAUUAACUCAAUUUGAUUGAGUAAUUAUUUUUGGAUCAAGUCCAAUUGAAUUGGAUUCAGUUGGGUUUGACCCGAUUAGGUUAAGAGUUGACCUAAUCGUCGAGAUGGUUUGGUCCCCGAUUUGAUCAAGGGUUGGGCUUAGUCAAUUUUUGAUUUGAUUAGGAUUUUAUUGAGCCUAAUUAAGCCUAAUUAAGUUGGGUUUAAUUUAGUCUAAUUGUGCUUAACCUAUUUUGAUUAGGUUGGUUCAAUUAAGAUCAAACCACCAUUUGAAUUUGAAUCCCUGCACCACCUUAAAU